UACGUAGGGUGCAAGCGUUGUCCGGAAUUAUUGGGCGUAAAGAGCUCGUAGGUGGCCUGUCGCGUCGGCUGUGAAAACUCGGGGCUCAACUCCGAGCUUGCAGUCGAUACGGGGCAGGCUAGAGUUCGGCAGGGGGAGACUGGAAUUCCUGGUGUAGCGGUGAAAUGCGCAGAUAUCAGGAGGAACACCGGUGGCGAAGGCGGGUCUCUGGGCCGAUACUGACGCUGAGGAGCGAAAAGCGUGGGGGAGCAAACAGG
rnacentral:rRNA from 1 species